GACGAGGCACUACGGUGCUGAAGCAACAAAUGCCCUGCUUCCAGGAAAAGCCUCUAAGCAUCAGGUAACAUCAAAUCGUACCCCAAACCGACACAGGUGGUCAGGUAGAGAAUACCAAGGCGCUUGAGAGAACUCGGGUGAAGGAACUAGGCAAAAUGGUGCCGUAACUUCGGGAGAAGGCACGCUGACACGUAGGUGAAGUGAUUUACUCAUGGAGCUGAAGUCAGUCGAAGAUACCAGCUGGCUGCAACUGUUUAUUAAAAACACAGCACUGUGCAAACACGAAAGUGGACGUAUACGGUGUGACGCCUGCCCGGUGCCGGAAGGUUAAUUGAUGGGGUCAGCGCAAGCGAAGCUCCUGAUCGAAGCCCCGGUAAACGGCGGCCGUAACUAUAACGGUCCUAAGGUAGCGAAAUUCCUUGUCGGGUAAGUUCCGACCUGCACGAAUGGCGUAAUGAUGGCCAGGCUGUCUCCACCCGAGACUCAGUGAAAUUGAACUCGCUGUGAAGAUGCAGUGUACCCGCGGCAAGACGGAAAGACCCCGUGAACCUUUACUAUAGCUUGACACUGAACAUUGAGCCUUGAUGUGUAGGAUAGGUGGGAGGCUUUGAAGUGUGGACGCCAGUCUGCAUGGAGCCGACCUUGAAAUACCACCCUUUAAUGUUUGAUGUUCUAACGUGGACCCGUUACCCGGGUUGCGGACAGUGUCUGGUGGGUAGUUUGACUGGGGCGGUCUCCUCCUAAAGAGUAACGGAGGAGCACGAAGGUUGGCUAAUCCUGGUCGGACAUCAGGAGGUUAGUGCAAUGGCAUAAGCCAGCUUGACUGCGAGCGUGACGGCGCGAGCAGGUGCGAAAGCAGGUCAUAGUGAUCCGGUGGUUCUGAAUGGAAGGGCCAUCGCUCAACGGAUAAAAGGUACUCCGGGGAUAACAGGCUGAUACCGCCCAAGAGUUCAUAUCGACGGCGGUGUUUGGCACCUCGAUGUCGGCUCAUCACAUCCUGGGGCUGAAGUAGGUCCCAAGGGUAUGGCUGUUCGCCAUUUAAAGUGGUACGCGAGCUGGGUUUAGAACGUCGUGAGACAGUUCGGUCCCUAUCUGCCGUGGGCGCUGGAGAACUGAGGGGGGCUGCUCCUAGUACGAGAGGACCGGAGUGGACGCAUCACUGGUGUUCGGGUUGUCAUGCCAAUGGCACUGCCCGGUAGCUAAAUGCGGAAGAGAUAAGUGCUGAAAGCAUCUAAGCACGAAACUUGCCCCGAGAUGAGUUCUCCCUGAGACUUAAAGUCUCCUGAAGGAACGUUGAAGACGACGACGUUGAUAGGCCGGGUGUGUAAGCGCAGCGAUGCGUUGAGCUAACCGGUACUAAUGAACCGUGAGGCUUAACCUU
rnacentral:rRNA from 1 species